rnacentral:rRNA from 1 species
AGGACGAACGCUGGCGGCGUGCUUAAACACAUGCAAGUCGAGCGGAAAGGCCCUUCGGGGUACUCGAGCGGCGAACGGGUGAGUAACACGUGAGUAAUCUGCCCCUAGCUCUGGGAUAGCUCCGGGAAACCGGGAUUAAUACCAGAUACAACCACUUUAGACAUCUCUUGUGGUGGAAAGAAUUUCGGCUAGGGAUGAACUCGCGGCCUAUCAGCUUGUUGGUGAGGUAACGGCUCACCAAGGCGACGACGGGUA